rnacentral:rRNA from 1 species
CUACGUAGGUGACAAGCGUUAUCCGGAUUUACUGGGCGUAAAGGGCGUGUAGGCGGUCUUGCAAGUCAGAAGUGAAAUUCCUGAGCUCAACUCGGGCGCUGCUUCUGAAACUGCAGGACUUGAGUGCUGGAGGGGAUAGCGGAAUUCCUAGUGGAGCGGUAAAAUGCGCAGAUAUUAGGAAGAACACCGGUGGCGAAGGCGGCUAUCUGGACAGUAACUAGCGCUGGGGCGCGAAAGCGUGGGGAGCAAACAGGAUUAGAUACCCGGGUUGUCCACGCCGUAAACGAUGAAUACUAGGUGUAGGGGGUAUCGACUCCCUCUGUGCCGCAGUUAACACAAUAAGUAUUCCGCCUGGGGAGUACGGCCGCAAGGUUGAAACUCAAAUGAAUUGACGGGG